AUUUAUUUAAUAUAGUAAGUAUAAUUGACUUCCAAUCAAAAAGACUGAUAUUAUCAGAAUAAAUA
rnacentral:tRNA from 1 species